rnacentral:rRNA from 1 species
UACGAAGGGGGCUAGCGUUGCUCGGAAUUACUGGGCGUAAAGCGCACGUAGGCGGCUUUCUAAGUCGGGGGUGAAAUCCUGGAGCUCAACUCCAGAACUGCCUUCGAUACUGGAGAGCUCGAGUCCGGGAGAGGUGAGUGGAACUGCGAGUGUAGAGGUGAAAUUCGUAGAUAUUCGCAAGAACACCAGUGGCGAAGGCGGCUCACUGGCCCGGUACUGACGCUGAGGAGCGAAAGCGUGGGGAGCAAACAGG